rnacentral:rRNA from 1 species
ACAAGGCAGACGGCUCAGUAACGCGUAGUCAACGUAACCUAUGGACGGGAAUAACCUCGGGAAACUGAGAAUAUAGCCCGAUAGAACACUAUACCUGGAAUGGUUUGAGUUCCAAAUGAUUUAUCGCCGUAGGAUGGGACUGCGGCCUAUCAGUUUGUUGGGGAGGGUUUGGCCCACCAAGACUAUUACAGGUACGGGCUCUGAGAGGAGUAGCCCGGAGAUGGGUACUGAGACACGGACCCAGGCCCUACGGGGCGCAGCAGG